rnacentral:rRNA from 1 species
ACACAUGCAAGUCGAACGGUAACAGGAAGCAGCUUGCUGCUUUGCUGACGAGUGGCGGACGGGUGAGUAAUGUCUGGGAAACUGCCUGAUGGAGGGGGAUAACUACUGGAAACGGUAGCUAAUACCGCAUAACGUCGCAAGACCAAAGAGGGGGACCUUCGGGCCUCUUGCCAUCGGAUGUGCCCAGAUGGGAUUAGCUAGUAGGUGGGGUAACGGCUCACCUAGGCGACGAUCCCUAGCUGGUCUGAGAGGAUGACCAGCCACACUGGAACUGAGACACGGUCCAGACUCCUACGGGAGGCAGCAGUGGGGAAUAUUGCACAAUGGGCGCAAGCCUGAUGCAGCCAUGCCGCGUGUAUGAAGAAGGCCUUCGGGUUGUAAAGUACUUUCAGCGGGGAGGAAGGGAGUAAAGUUAAUACCUUUGCUCAUUGACGUUACCCGCAGAAGAAGCACCGGCUAACUCCGUGCCAGCAGCCGCGGUAAUACGGAGGGUGCAAGCGUUAAUCGGAAUUACUGGGCGUAAAGCGCACGCAGGCGGUUUGUUAAGUCAGAUGUGAAAUCCCCGGGCUCAACCUGGGAACUGCAUCUGAUACUGGCAAGCUUGAGUCUCGUAGAGGGGGGUAGAAUUCCAGGUGUAGCGGUGAAAUGCGUAGAGAUCUGGAGGAAUACCGGUGGCGAAGGCGGCCCCCCUGGACGAAGACUGACG